UACCAGCACCUCGAGUGGUCGGGACGAUUAUUGGGCCUAAAGCAUCCGUAGCCGGUUCUACAAGUCUUCCGUUAAAUCCAACUGCUUAACAGGUGGGCUGCGGAAGAUACUAUAGAGCUAGGAGGCGGGAGAGGCAAGCGGUACUCGAUGGGUAGGGGUAAAAUCCGUUGAUCCAUUGAAGACCACCAGUGGCGAAGGCGGCUUGCCAGAACGCGCUCGACGGUGAGGGAUGAAAGCUGGGGGAGCAACCGG
rnacentral:rRNA from 1 species